rnacentral:rRNA from 1 species
CUCGUAGGCGGCUUGGUAAGUCGGGUGUGAAACCUCCAGGCUCAACUUGGAGACGCCACUCGAUACUGCUAUAGCUAGAGUCCGGUAGGGGAGUGUGGAAUUCCUGGUGUAGCGGUGAAAUGCGCAGAUAUCAGGAGGAACACCAGCGGCGAAGGCGGCACUCUGGGCCGGUACUGACGCUGAGGAGCGAAAGCAUGGGGAGCGAACA